CGGAGACGCCCGGCAUUUACCCCACAUUUCUGUGAGGGGCUCGUUAUCUAGAGUGUCUCCUUCAGUGUUUCCCUGUCCUCUGGUAUGGAAAUCACAUUGAUUUUGUCGGUGUUUACAAGGGGAUCAUACAACCCAGAAACUAUUGAUUUCAGCAGCUCGGGGGAUGUACGUGGCCAUAUGUGCACAUGGAGAAGUCAGAGGAGGCCAUCAAGAUUGUUGCUCCUUCACCCUGUGCCACGUUACCUCAAGACCAAGUCUCUCACCAAAACUGGAGCUAAGCUGGUGGCCAGCAAGCUCCAGUAAUCCUCCUGUCUCUACUCACCAGCAGUGUUGGAGUACAGAAACUCGCCCAGCAUGAAGUCAUCAGAAAUAAGAUGGACCUUGCCAUGGCUGACGAGACCAGGAACCUGCAUCUUACUCACGGAGUAUGGAGGGUCACGCUGGCAGCUACCCAAUGGGGACAGUGUUACAGGCUGCACAGAGAACUUCUACCACACAGAUGGGCUGCUAGAUGAUAGCUCACAAAGCAUUGCUACAUUUUAUAAGAAAUGGAAGAUCAGCCAGAUCCAGGGAGAUAUUCAGGGAAAACACAAUGACAAAACAUUGCUAUCAAAGGCAGGAAAUACUGUGAGAGUCCUUGAGGAGAUGAAUUUCUGAAGGUGGUAGCUUUGGUGGCUCCCGUGGCUUCUGAAUGCGCUUUUCCAUUAGCUGUUGGCAAGUUGUCAGCAAGGACUUUGAACUCAAGAUUCAAGGUUUUGAAAGGUCUAACAUGAAGAGUCUACUGACAUUAUAGAACCUUUCUAUUCAGGAAAUUGGAUUUCUAUUGUAUAGCUUACUGCCUUCAAGUAUAAUCAACAUGAUAGAGAUGACAGAUAUAGAGAAACUGCUGAAGAAUAAGGAAAAAUAAUCUGAAGUCAAAAUGGUGGAAUUUAUUCAUCUUAGAUGGUUAUAAGCUCCACAUACAGUUUUCCUAGGCCUAAAAUCCAUUACUGCUACGAAUUUUGUGAAGUGAGAACAUUUCCUGCCAUUAGAUAUGAUUGGCUACUGCGGAACCAGAAAACACAGAAACAUUUCCAUGGGUCGUCUCUGCUUAGAGUCAAACAUACCAAACACAAUGAAAACCAAACACGAAGUCUAAAAAUACUUUUGACAUAUGCCAUAAAGGUUAAUAUCUUUAAUAUAUAAGUAGCUGUCAUAAUCCAGUAAAAGAAUCCCAUUAGAAUGGUCUAAUAAUGUGAGCAGAUAAUACAGGUAUUAACAUAGACAAAUGAGCAGCUAAUAUUCUAUAAUGUUCAAACUCAUUGAUAAUCAAAAUAAGUUUGGGGUAGCAUAUUAGCAAAAAUAGUCACUGAAAUAUUAUCACUUGGAUCAGAAGCAUGUUUGGGAAA